AUGCCAGAGAUGACCACCAGAUAUGAAUCAUCCCCCAAAAAUGACCCCGGGACCAGCGGCAGCAACCAGACAGCAACCACACCUGGAGCUUGUCUUAGUCAGCCUCUUCUGGGUUUAUCUGCACCAAGUGGCCGACUCCUGCAGGCAGCGCAACACGCAGAAACACACAGCGCAAGGAGAGCUGUAGUUCCCCCCAUGACGCCUCAGCCGCUGCACAUUACAGGUUUCACACAACACUGUCACAGCCAUGGAGGUUCACUGCAGCUUCUGUUUUAAGUCAUACCACUGCCGUAGCUGCUGUACAGUGUUAUUAUCAUCAAAAAUCCAAUAAUGACCACGUCAGUCGCUGCCACAGUCUGUUUGGAUGAGCUGAGGUGAGCUCCUUCAUUGGAGACAUUUUGGUCCCGAGGUGCUGAACGGUAGUCGCAUUAGACCAGGGGUGGGCAAUUCCAGGCCUCGAGGGCCGGUGUGUCUGCAUGAUUUCCAGAUAGUCUUGCCCUACUCAUGGCUGAUUACCUGGUUCAGGUGUGUCCAGCCAAUUAGAACAUGCCAGAGCAGGGUAUGCUGGAAAACAUGCAGGAAUGCGGCCCUCAGUGCCCACCUCUGCAUUAGACUGAAGCUAACAAUUGUGUUGGAUCAGUGCAAAAAGUCUCCAUUUAACCUAUUAAACAUAGUAAAAAUCACCAAGGACUGUUACUAUACAGCGCAUGUACUCUCAACUGAAAAACUACAAAUUAUAUAUUUUUUAGAAAUAUAAACUGACCCAUUAAAAAAAAUGUAGUCAUAUUCUGCAUGGUUUUGCUAUGAAUUCACCUUGACCCCCACAGAUUGUUCAUUUGGUUAAAGUCAUUUCAUUUGAGGCAGAAAACGCUUCUUCUGUCAUCCUCCUUGAACAAAAUGUAAUUCUCCAGGCAUCCUCCAAAUGUGUCGCUACAACAAAGUUGUUGAGUCCCAAGCGAAUCUUUUUUUUACAUCAAGUCUUUUUAUUGGUAUUUCACAUUUAAAAAGAGGGUGCAAGGAUACAAGUUUGACAAAGCGUACAAAACUGAUAACAUACCUCCAAACACCCUCUCCUCCCUCCCAUUACUGUACCACUCUUUCAAACUGCAAAUAUUUAGUAAAAUAUACAUUUUCAAAAAAAAAUAAACCUCUAACUUGCACAUUAUCAAAACCCAAGUUCUUCAUAUAAUUUAAGAAGGGAUUUCAAGUGGUAUAGAAAUCUUGUGUACAACCUCUGGCAGAAAAGCGAUUUUUUUUCCAAAACCAAAAAUUGUAAGAGAUCCUUUAUCCACAUCUUUAAAGUUGGAGGAAAUUGAUCCUUCCAUUUGAUGAGAAUACAAGGCAAAAUCUUUUUAUUUUUUUAUUCAGUCUUCAGCUGAAGUAACCUGUUUGGUAACUUUUAAAUCCAGAUAGUUGGACUGUUUUGACCAACCUACUGACUGCAGCAACUUUUGUUGAAGGUACCUACAAACCAAACUAUUUUUUAAUGCAUACUUUACUUUUAGCAGUGGAUCUGGCCUUGGCUUUCUAUUUAAGCUAUGCAGUCAGUACAAUGACGGCCGCCUGCUGGAUGAGUCAUACAAGUGCUAGAAGUCACUGGUGUGUGUCCUUCACCUGCAGAAUGAGAGUGUUAGGAUUAAAGGGAAAACAUAAACCCACCAAUGCAGAAGUACAGUUUAAUGUAGUUAUGAUGCUGUUCGUUCCUCUACAUUAAUACUGCAGGCUCUUUUAUUUUACAUAUCUGCUUCGCUUCCUUUUGGUUGAUCGAUAGUUUAUGGUCAUAAAGCGGAACUUUCAAAGUAAAUAAAUGUAGAUGUAAUACUGUACAUGAGGAUUAAACAGGGGCCAACCCUAAUUAAAAAUGACUUCAAAAACAUCAGAAUUUGAACUAAGCGCUGCACAGUUACCCCACUUAAAAACACUUUAAAUACAUUUAAAAGUUUACAAAAACGGGAAUAAGAACACGAACAUAAAGGAUAAUACAACUGAUAAAACCAGUAAAGUGUAAAGUCAAGAUCUCAAACUCAGUGUUAGCCUAAAAUGGAAGAUUUAAAAGUGGACCAAAAAGCAUGUAUCAUCUACCAGGGGUCCACUGGUAGCACUAUGCUUCCUACCUUUUUUCAGAAGAAACUUUUGGAUUUACAAAUUGAAUGCACUAAACUGACAUCCCUCUUUUUUUUACUUGGUUUAGUUUAGAUAUUUGCUUGCAGAAAAAAAUGAAAAACACAUGAAUUUCUUGAGAGAAUAAACCAAACGGGACCUAAUUUAGAGGGGGAAAAAGUAGAGGCCUCAGAAGGGGGAGCUGGGGGGGGGACCCCUCAAAAGGGAGGAGCAACUGUCCACACUGUCCUCGGUCACAUGUUUGCACUGUGACCAACGGCAUCAGACAGUGCAGUGAGCCCAGUAAUACAAGGAGCACAUUAUGCCCAGCAUCUGAGUCAUUAAACAAUGAAAGAGAUGACCAGUUGCUGUGAGGAAACUAAUGGGAGGAAAACACCCAAUGUGUAAAAAUGAAGGGAUCUAGCAUUUUUAACCAGUGACAAGAUUUGAGUGUGUUUGCAGUUCACCAAACGUAGACUGCUGUCAAACAACAGAAAAAUUGAAGUUGGACAUCAUCUGCAGGAGAAUCUGAGGGCUUCAUGAAGGAUGUUUAGAGGCAUUGCCUGAAACUGUAGAGUAACAGUAAUGCCUAGCUGAAGAGUUUGGGAUCCACAAAGGCACUUUGAAGGGCAAAGUUUGAGUUCAGCUUUUGAUUUAGCAGCAGUCUCUGUCCCCCGCGUCCUGAAAUGACCCCAUCUUAUUUUAGGAACAUCUGAUAACGCUGAUGUUAGGAACCCCCAGACUAUGAUUAACCCUUGUGCUAUCUUAGAUGACCCCACCCUUCCAUUGACGUGUUCUCCCUACCAUGACAAAGGUGGAUAAAGGUGGAAAGAUUUCAUGUAAUCCAUGGACACGAGGGAAGAUCACAAAUCACUGAAGAAAAAAGGUUCAGAGCUCUGUCUAGUGGGUCUAGAUGACCCAACUCCCAAUGUUAAAGUGCCUAGGAUAACACAUGGGAUAAGCAAGCAGGCAGCAGGAUGCUGAAGCAUUCACCUGGUGAUGUUUGUUCCUGCUGGGCUGCUCCUGAGCUUUUCCAUGACUGAAGAUGCCCAAAAACAGCUUUUGUGGAAGAAAGCAGAACAUUUGAGCAUUUUCACAGGAUGCUUUUAUCGGGCAGUGUUGAAUUCAGUUCUUAUUUUGGGAUAGAAAGAGUUUCUCUGUGUCUUUAUAGUGAGCAGAGUUCAAUGUGGAAUCAAAGUACUGGUAUAUUUUGGGAUUUAGAAGGAUUUUUUUCUUUGUUGUUGUUAAUUAGCUCAAUGAAGCAAUAAUCAGGUUUUACUUUAGAAUGCUAAUUUAUGAGCAAAAUUACUCCAUUGUGAUAUGUAACAAUGAUAUGUAAAGGUUUUUCAACAUGAAUGGACACAGAGAUUGUGAAACAUAUGUAAAAUGUAAACAUGGGUCUUACUCCACAUGACCGUGUCAAGGCCGUGUCUCACGGCCACUACUUCCUUUUGGGCACAUUGCACGGAUGAAAAUUGGUCAUAUGUGGAAAAAGUGAGAAAAGUUGUGGUCUUUAUGUUAAAUUUUCACAGAUGGAUCAGGAAUAAACCAGGUAAAGAAACCGUAAACCAACGUAGAACAUAAACCGUGUGAUUAUUGUGUUGUUUAGAUGUAAUUCAUUAGUGAUUCAUGCAUCAAUUACGUCAUUUUAAUGAGAAAUGUGGGCCGUAUACGUGAUAUAAAAGUUAUAUAUCGGUGGUUCAUGCGUGAAAACUUCAUUAGACAAACGUGAAAUGGUCGCAAAAGACAGAUUUGCGUCUGCAUCUGGCAAAAAUUACACACAAUUGCAUAAGAUUUACAUAAUAAUUACGUAUAAACUAUGUAAAAUUUGUGUAAACUGCACAAUUCUCACCCGACCAAAAAUUUUAACGUCUCAAUACUGAAUUCACAUAAAGACCCGUCGGCCGAAACCCUCGACGGACGUCUGAGCUCAUCGGCAAACUGCUGUCUUCAGUUGAAGACUUAGAGUUCGGUUUUUGUGUGAGCUCACUCAGAAUGGAGCAGCUAGAAGCUAUGAAUUAUUUGCU
ensembl:lncRNA